rnacentral:rRNA from 1 species
UACAGAGGGUGCGAGCGUUAAUCGGAAUUACUGGGCGUAAAGCGCGCGUAGGCGGCUUUGCAAGUCGGGUGUGAAAUCCCCAGGCUUAACCUGGGAACUGCACUUGUGGCUGCACGACUUGAGUACGGCAGAGGGGGAUGGAAUUCCGCGUGUAGCAGUGAAAUGCGUAGAUAUGCGGAGGAACACCGAUGGCGAAGGCAGUCCCCUGGGCCUGUACUGACGCUCAUGCACGAAAGCGUGGGGAGCAAACAGG